AUGAAAAUUUUAUGCUGGAACUGCCGUGGGAUAGGCGAUCCCGCGACAGUUCGUGAAUUACGUGAUCUCGUGGAGAUCAGUUCGCCUUCUAUCUUGUGUUUAGUUGAAACCCAGUUACAGAAGGGUCGUGUCGAAGGUUUACGCACGUCGUUAGGGUAUGAUUUCAGCUUUGGUGUCGGUAGUAGUGGUCGUAGUGGAGGUCUUUGUAUUUUUUGG
rnacentral:rRNA from 1 species